UCAUAAUUGAACACCUGUGACUUAAAGGACUCCAUGGCUAGUGCUGGGUCUCAACUUGGGUAAACAAGAGCACUAGGCCCUUACUACUAGAAACACAUAUUCUACAGUGCUGUGGACCAAACUGUGUCACCCUCAAAAUUUAUAUGUUGAAGUCCUAAUUUCCAAUAUGGCUGUAUUUGGAGAUGGGGAUGAGAAGGAGGUGCUAAAGGUCAAUGAGGAUGAAGGGUGGAAUCCUAAUCUGAUAGGCCUGGAGCCCUUGAAAGAAGAGAAGAGACAGCUCUCUUUCCAUCAUGUGAGGACACAACAUAGCAGGAGGGGUCUGUCUGCAAGCCAGGAAGAUGUUCUUGCUAAGAAGUGAAUUGGGUCAGCACUUUGAUUUGGAACUUUCCAGUCUCCAGAACUUGAUAUGGUCAAGAAUUACAGCAUUGCAUAAGGAUAUGAGGAAGAACAUUUUCCUGUCUGUCCUUCUUCACCAGCCAACACUUAGACUGGUGAACACCCUUGCAAAUCCACACGUGAUAGGCUGAUGCGUUCAACACUCAGAGCAAGAGUUUCUUAGCCUCACCCUGCACCACCUGAUGCCUCAGCACAAAAUACCCCAAGAAAGGGCAAAUUGGACAACAUUAUCAUUUUUCCUACAACGUCAGAAGAAAGAAUGGAAAAGUGAGAUUUGCAUGAGAGAUUCAUUCUGGUUUUAUGUUUCAUAUGAAAUGUUUUACCUUC